CAAUAGCGUAUAUUAAAGCUGUUGCGGUUAAAAAGCUCGUAGUUGGAUUUCUGUCAAGGACAACUGGUCCGCCCCUCGGGUGAGCACAUAGUUUGGUCUUGGCAUCUUGUUGGAAACUGUUGCUGCACUUGGUUGUGUGGCGCAGUGUCCAGCACUUUCACUUUGAGGAAAUUGGAGUGUUUCAAGCAGGCACAUGCCUUUGGACACAGUAGCAUGGAAUAAUUAGAUUGGGCUUUUGCUCCAACUUGUCGGUUUCUGGAGCUGAGGUGAGAAUUAAUGGGGAUUGUUGGGGGCAUCCGAAUUUAGCCGUCAGAGGUGAAAUUCUUGGAUCUGCUAAAGACGGACAACUGCGAAAGCGUUUGCCCAGGAUGGUUUCAUUGA
rnacentral:rRNA from 1 species